CGGGCCUGGCGCGAUUGGAUGAGCCCAUGUCGGAUUAGCUAGUUGGCGGGGUAAUGGCCCACCAAGGCGACGAUCCGUAGCUGGUCUGAGAGGAUGAUCAGCCACACUGGAACUGAGACACGGUCCAGACUCCUACGGGAGGCAGCAGUAGGGAAUAUUGGACAAUGGGCGCAAGCCUGAUCCAGCCCAUGCCGCGUGAGUGAAGAAGGCCCUCGGGUUGUAAAGCUCUUUUGUCCGGAAAGAAAAGCGCCGGGUUAAUACCCUGGUGCCCUGACGGUACCGGAAGAAUAAGCACCGGCUAACUUCGUG
rnacentral:rRNA from 1 species